GGAUCCUGGAAAGCUCAAAAGAUUUCCAUCCAAAUACAUCGUCCUCUAAGAGUGCUAAAAUGGCCGGAUCCAAUAGAGUUUAGGACCGUAUAACACAGAAGAGCCCUUACGUGUUGCAGUGAGUGUGAGAUACUCUGGUUACCAUUUGUACAAUCCUGUUCCAUGCCCGACCUGUCAAUAUUCGUGUAGGGGUUCCUGGCCUACACGCCACCUACAAGAUAUGGAAUAAUAUAGUGAGACCCCUAAGUUCCUGUCUCAUAGACUGUCCAAGCAUGUAUCUCCCAGUGUAGGUUUCCUUGAUGGUAGUUAAAUAGGAAGGCUAGUGAGAACCCAAAUCAAGAUGGUUCCCGUGAUGGAUAUAGAGUCCGAACACUGUUCUCAAGGUGUGUUCAGAGUUGUAGGAGCAGUCCUGCCAACUUUAUCUCAAGAUUGUAAGGACCAGGGAAGCCAAGUCCUGAGAAUUUCGGUUUCUCCAUGCGAUCCAUGCAUACGGUGCACCUGAAGACAGUUUAUGUGAAUUUUCCAGUCUUGUUACUCAAGCAAAGCAGUGCCCGUUUGCCCUAUGCAGGUCUCAGAAUCUCAUGUCACC